rnacentral:rRNA from 1 species
CUCAGGAUGAACGCUAGCUACAGGCUUAACACAUGCAAGUCGAGGGGCAGCAUGGUCUUAGCUUGCUAAGGCCGAUGGCGACCGGCGCACGGGUGAGUAACACGUAUCCAACCUGCCGUCUACUCUUGGACAGCCUUCUGAAAGGAAGAUUAAUACAAGAUGGCAUCAUGAGUCCGCAUGUUCACAUGAUUAAAGGUAUUCCGGUAGACGAUGGGGAUGCGUUCCAUUAGAUAGUAGGCGGGGUAACGGCCCACCUAGUCUUCGAUGGAUAGGGGUUCUGAGAGGAAGGUCCCCCACAUUGGAACUGAGACAAGGUCCAAACUCCUACGGGAGGCAGCAGUGAGGAAUAUUGGUCAAUGGGCGAGAGCCUGAACCAGCCAAGUAGCGUGAAGGAUGACUGCCCUAUGGGUUGUAAACUUCUUUUAUAAAGGAAUAAAGUCGGGUAUGCAUACCCGUUUGCAUGUACUUUAUGAAUAAGGAUCGGCUAACUCCGUGCCAGCAGCCGCGGUAAUACGGAGGAUCCGAGCGUUAUCCGGAUUUAUUGAGUUUAAAGGGAGCGUAGAUGGAUGUUUAAGUCAGUUGUGAAAGUUUGCGGCUCAACCGUAAAAUUGCAGUUGAUACUGGAUAUCUUGAGUGCAGUUGAGGCAGGCGGAAUUCGUGGUGUAGCGGUGAAAUGCUUAGAUAUCACGAAGAACUCCGAUUGCGAAGGCAGCCUGCUAAGCUGCAACUGACAUUGAGGCUCGAAAGUGUGGGUAUCAAACAGGAUUAGAUACCCUGGUAGUCCACACGGUAAACGAUGAAUACUCGCUGUUUGCGAUAUACAGCAAGCGGCCAAGCGAAAGCGUUAAGUAUUCCACCUGGGGAGUACGCCGGCAACGGUGAAACUCAAAGGAAUUGACGGGGGCCCGCACAAGCGGAGGAACAUGUGGUUUAAUUCGAUGAUACGCGAGGAACCUUACCCGGGCUUAAAUUGCAGAUGAAUUACGGUGAAAGCCGUAAGCCGCAAGGCAUCUGUGAAGGUGCUGCAUGGUUGUCGUCAGCUCGUGCCGUGAGGUGUCGGCUUAAGUGCCAUAACGAGCGCAACCCUUGUUGUCAGUUACUAACAGGUUCCGCUGAGGACUCUGACAAGACUGCCAUCGUAAGAUGUGAGGAAGGUGGGGAUGACGUCAAAUCAGCACGGCCCUUACGUCCGGGGCUACACACGUGUUACAAUGGGGGGUACAGAGGGCCGCUACCACGCGAGUGGAUGCCAAUCCCAAAAACCUCUCUCAGUUCGGACUGGAGUCUGCAACCCGACUCCACGAAGCUGGAUUCGCUAGUAAUCGCGCAUCAGCCACGGCGCGGUGAAUACGUUCCCGGGCCUUGUACACACCGCCCGUCAAGCCAUGGGAGCCGGGGGUACCUGAAGUGCGUAACCGCGAGGAGCGCCCUAGGGUAAAACU